UACGGGGGGAGCAAGCGUUGUUCGGAUUUACUGGGCGUAAAGGGCGCGUAGGCGGUCGUGACAAGUCACUUGUGAAAUCUCCGGGCUUAACUCGGAACGGUCAAGUGAUACUGUCGGACUAGAGUACAGAAGGGGCAACUGGAAUUCUCGGUGUAGCGGUGAAAUGCGUAGAUAUCAGGAGGAACACCGAUGGCGAAGGCAGGUCUCUGGGCAUUAACUGACGCUGAGGAGCGAAAGCGUGGGGAGCAAACAGG
rnacentral:rRNA from 1 species